CGACUCUCGGCAACGGAUAUCUCGGCUCUCGCAUCGAUGAAGAACGUAGCGAAAUGCGAUACUUGGUGUGAAUUGCAGAAUCCCGUGAACCAUCGAGUCUUUGAACGCAAGUUGCGCCCGAAACCAUCCGGUUGAGGGCACGUCUUCCUGGGCGUCACGCAUC
rnacentral:rRNA from 1 species